AUGGACAACCACUUGACCUUCACCUUCCUCCUCCUCCUCGUGGCCCUGCCAGGGUUACGGGCGGCCGUGGAAUUGGUCGAGUCCGGAGGUGGCCUUCAACCACCCGGGGGGUCCUUGCGCCUCGUCUGCAAGGUCAACGGCUUCACCAUCACCAGCUACGACAUGGGAUGGGUGAGACAACCACCCGAGAAGAAUCUCGAGUGGAUCGGGGGUAUUGGGAGUGGUGGUGGCAUCUCCUACGGGUUGAGGUUUCAAGGUCGUACCACCAUCUCCAGGGACAACUCCCAGAGCACGGUCACGCUGCAGAUGAACAACCUCAGGGCCGACGACACGGCCACCUACUACUGCGCGAAAAGUGCUUCACGGUGA